GCCCCCGUGGCGUAAUGGAUAGCGUAAGGGCCUUCGGAGCCCUGGGUGAGGGUUCGAGUCCUUCCGGGGGCACCC
rnacentral:tRNA from 4 species